rnacentral:rRNA from 1 species
CAGCCGUAAACUAUGCGCGUUAGGUGUAUCGGUGACCACGAGUUACCGAGGUGCCGAAGGGAAACCGUGAAACGUGCCGCCUGGGAAGUACGGUCGCAAGGCUGAAACUUAAAGGAAUUGGCGGGGGAGCACCACAACAGGUGGAGCCUGCGGUUUAAUCGGACUCAACGCCGGGAAGCUCACCGGAUAGGACAGCAGAAUGAUUGCCGGGCUGAAGACCCUGCAUGACUAGCUGAGAGGAGGUGCAUGGCGUCAGUGACU